rnacentral:rRNA from 1 species
AGAGUUGAUCAUGGCUCAGGAUGAACGCUAGCGACAGGCUAACACAUGCAAGUCGAGGGGCAGCAUAAAAGUAGCAAUACUUGGUGGCGACCGGCGCACGGGUGAGUAACGCGUAUGCAACCUACCUAUCAGAGGGGAAUAACCCGGCGAAAGUCGGACUAAUACCGCAUAAAACAGGGGCACCGCAUGGUGAUAUUUGUUAAAGAAAUUCGCUGAUAGAUGGGCAUGCGUUCCAUUAGGUAGUUGGUGAGGUAACGGCUCACCAAGCCGACGAUGGAUAGGGGAACUGAGAGGUUGGUCCCCCACACUGGUACUGAGACACGGACCAGACUCCUACGGGAGGCAGCAGUGAGGAAUAUUGGUCAAUGGGCGGGAGCCUGAACCAGCCAAGUCGCGUGAAGGAAGAAGGAUCUAUGGUUCGUAAACUUCUUUUGCAGGGGAAUAAAGUGCAGGACGUGUCCUGUUUUGUAUGUACCCUGAGAAUAAGGAUCGGCUAACUCCGUGCCAGCCGCUGC